rnacentral:lncRNA from 1 species
GGGGAGGUCUUAUAGAAAUGUAUACGGGAUACUGGAACACAUGAAUUAACAGAUAUUAGCAGUCACCUGCCUUUAUUUUUUCUAGACCAGAAGACACAUGGAACAGCGCAGAGAUGACCUACCUAAGCUCACACUUCUGGUUGGUGUCCUAAGAUUCAACUGAAUGCAGGGAACGCACUACCAUCAGGUCCCGUGAAGUGUACUGAAUGGCUCUCCAACUUGAGAUGCCUGAGGAUCAUCCUAUGAAUAGACAUUAAAAUGUACAAGCCCCUCAGCAGGCACAGAGAUUCUGACUCCCUGGGAGCCCUGAACUGGGAUAAAAUCGCUGUGAACCUCUCAACUUGAAGUGUUCUUAAAAAAACACCGAAUGUCAUGAACCAAAAGUGACUUUUUGCGCAUGACUCGAGUCAUCCUGUGCCUCACAUUCUAAGUGAAAGAACAAGCUAGAGUGCCAUGCCUUCCAUGCACACGGUUCCUAGUGCUAAAUACAAGCUUCCAAAGCCUACAAAACUACUACUUGUCAUGGAUUCAGAUUUCUAAUUAGGAGACAGAGGACAGUGAAACACGUGGGUCAGCUGCUGACCAGUGUGGUGAGAGAACACCAGCGCAGGGCGGAGGGUGGAGGGCGGAGGGUGGAUGAGGAGGGAGGAUCACUGCUGCUUCAUUAGGAGACACUGUGGAGAAGGUGAAG